AUGCAAGUCGAGCGGACUAGAUGGAGUGCUUGCACUCCUGAUGGUUAGCGGCGGACGGGUGAGUAACACGUAGGUAACCUGCCCAUAAGACUGGGAUAACCCACGGAAACGUGAGCUAAUACCRGAUAGGCAUUUUCCUCGCAUGAGGGAGAUGAGAAAGGCGGAGCAAUCUGCCACUUAUGGAUGGACCUGCGGCGCAUUAGCUAGUUGGUAAGGUAACGGCUUACCAAGGCGACGAUGCGUAGCCGACCUGAGAGGGUGAUCGGCCACACUGGGACUGAGACACGGCCCAGACUCCUACGGGAGGCAGCAGUAGGGAAUCUUCCGCAAUGGACGAAAGUCUGACGGAGCAACGCCGCGUGAGUGAUGAAGGUUUUCGGAUCGUAAAGCUCUGUUGCCAGGGAAGAACGCCUAGGAGAGUAACUGCUCUUAGGGUGACGGUACCUGAGAAGAAAGCCCCGGCUAACUACGUGCCAGCAGCCGCGGGUAAUAMAAAA
rnacentral:rRNA from 1 species